rnacentral:lncRNA from 1 species
UGGAUCUGAGUCAUCCACCUAAAAGAGGGACAACACCACACAUUGGUCACUGCUCUCAAGCCCCUGGAAUACCACCCCACUUGGCUUCUCCUGGUAACAGUGGCUGCCUUUGCUUGCCUGUCUCCAACUCCUCCCAAGAGCAUUGCUGACUACUACCAGUUUUAAUGAGGUACUUCUUUCUAACUCCAUCAGCUGUGUGGCUAUCUGCAGAUCUAAACUAUUGCCUUUAACUAUCAGGAACUCCAAUUUGAGAAGUGUUACCCUACGUUAAGCCAACAGCAGCCUGGCUCCUUCAUGCUGUGCAGUAUGGGACAGAGCUGGGUCCUUGUUGUCAUCAGCCAGACAAGCACACAUUAAAGCCCACCUUAGCGGUUGGCAUUAGAGCUUUAAAAGCAGCUCCAUCCUACCAUGCUGUCACUCUACUCAAUCACGUGAUCUUAACGACCAGAUCUACAUAUCCUCCCUCCAUGCCCCCACCACCAUCCCCCACCAACAUUCUGCUAUCAGCUACAGGUCUGGGUUUGUGUCUCCAACAAAGAACCACCUCAAAGCCCCACAGAAAAGGACUGUACCGUAUACCUCAAACUAUUGACACCUCAAAGAACAGAGCUUGGGUUCAGGCUUCUGAUGCAUUCUGA